AUCGAACGCUGGCGGCAGGCUUAACACAUGCAAGUCGAGCGAGCGGCGGACGGGUGAGUAAUGCCUGGGAAACUGCCUGAUGGAGGGGGAUAACAACUGGAAACGGUAGCUAAUACCGCACACCAUCAGAGUAGCCCAGGUGGGAUUAGUUAGUAGGUGGGGUAAUGGCUCACCUGGGCGCCGAUCCCUAGCUGGUCUGAGAGGAUGUCCCGCCACACUGGAACUGGGACACGGUCCAGACUCCUACGGGAGGCAGCAGUGGGGAAUAUUGCACAAGGGGCGCAAGCCUGAUGCAGCCAUGCCGCGUGUGUGAAGAAGGCCUUCGGGUUGUAAAGCACUUUCAGCGAGGAGGCGUUACUCGCAGAAGAAGCACCGGCUAACUCCGUGCCAGCAGCCGCGGUAAUAC
rnacentral:rRNA from 1 species